ACAGUGGGAGGUCAGAAAGUGAAGCCACUAAAGCGGGUUUUUAGGCCCCAGAAUUUUAGGUGCCUCGAUUUUUUUUAAUUCCUACAGUUGAUAUUUAGUAGUUGAUUCGGAGCCUUGAACAAUUUGAUCGAGUUUGUAUCGCGUAAAGUCCAUUAAAGUUGAAGCCGCUCUCUGAAAAGAAUUUUUUUAUUUCCAAGACUCGAAUCGAUUAUCUUCUAUUAAGGAAAGAAAUAUCCUAUCGAUUGUAUUGGAAUAAAACUGAAUUGACAUUGAAGCUGACGUGGCAUGACACGUGAACUGGUCAAUUGGUCAAAACAUGAUAAUUAGUUAAGAGGCACGAGUGACAACAGAUACGGGGAAAGCAAAGCUAAACAGGCACGAGAAGCGAUUCAAAUAAUACAAGCUUCGUACCUAUUUCGUCAUUUAAAGCCAAGAGAUCAGAAGGUAUUGAAGACAUAGAUAUGAUGACGAAAAGGAGUCCAAAUUCAGUAUUAAAUACCCAAUAUGUUAGAGAAUUGGUAUUAAAUAAGAAUGAUUGUG
rnacentral:lncRNA from 1 species